AAAAAAAUUGGUGAAAUAAUAGUGUAUACUUUUAUAUACAAUGUUUAAAAUAUCAACUAUUCAAUUUAAUCAACAUUAAUAUUCGAUCAAAUAUAACUUUAAUUAUGUGGUUAUAUUUUCAUGAUUUUACGCGGUAGAACGUGGAAACUUAUUUAUUAGUCUAGUAUCCCCGAAGCGUGCAGCAACCAAUCGGUAUGACAGUGAAUAUUGCCUCGCUUGUCCUUUCAGAGUGUAGAACGGUCUUGCGAUCAGAUAUACUUCAUAUUAUCGGAAAUACUUGAUAAAUGUUUAUGUUUUAAAAGUUUUUUUAAAAUGUUAAAUAAAGUUUAACUAGCCUAGAAAAUAAUUUUAAACAAGAUGCGCGUUCUACGCAUACUACGAUGCCGACCCUUCUCCACGCGAAUGUUGGCUUUGCUUCUCAUCGCAUUGGCUUUCGGCGUCUACUGCUACUACUAUACCGUGUCCCCAGCGUACCCUAAACCAGGUAAGUU
rnacentral:misc_RNA from 1 species